GGUGGCCGCAGAGAAUAGGCCCAAGCGACUGUUUACCAAAAACAUAGGUUUCUGCUAAGUCGCAAGACGAUGUAUAGGAGCUGACGCCUGCCCGGUGCUGGAAGGCUAAGGGGAUCUGUUAGAGCAAUCGAAGCAGUGAACUUAAGCCCCAGUAAACGGCGGCCGUAACUAUAACGGUCCUAAGGUAGCGAAAUUCCUUGUCGGGUAAGUUCCGACCCGCACGAAAGGCGUAA
rnacentral:rRNA from 1 species